AUUGAACGCUGGCGGCAGGCCUAACACAUGCAAGUCGAGCGGAUGAAGGGAGCUUGCUCCUGGAUUCAGCGGCGGACGGGUGAGUAAUGCCUAGGAAUCUGCCUGGUAGUGGGGGAUAACGUCCGGAAACGGGCGCUAAUACCGCAUACGUCCUGAGGGAGAAAGUGGGGGAUCUUCGGACCUCACGCUAUCAGAUGAGCCUAGGUCGGAUUAGCUAGUUGGUGGGGUAAAGGCCUACCAAGGCGACGAUCCGUAACUGGUCUGAGAGGAUGAUCAGUCACACUGGAACUGAGACACGGUCCAGACUCCUACGGGAGGCAGCAGUGGGGAAUAUUGGACAAUGGGCGAAAGCCUGAUCCAGCCAUGCCGCGUGUGUGAAGAAGGUCUUCGGACUGUAAAGCACUUUAAGUUGGGAGGAAGGGCAGUAAGUUAAUACCUUGCUGUUUUGACGUUACCAACAGAAUAAGCACCGGCUAACUUCGCG
rnacentral:rRNA from 1 species